GGGCUGGAGCCUGGCCCUCGAGGACACCGGGCUCUGUGCUGAUUUCCACCCCGGGGGGCAGGUGGUGGCCGUGGGGCUGCUCACGGGGCGGUGGCUGGUGCUGGACACGGGGUCCCGGCAGCCCCUGGCCGGGGGCUCUGACGGGAACGAGCAGCUCUCGGUGGUUCGGUUCUCCCCUGGUGAGA